rnacentral:rRNA from 1 species
UACGGAGGGGGCUAGCGUUGUUCGGAAUUACUGGGCGUAAAGCGCACGUAGGCGGCUUUGUAAGUUAGAGGUGAAAGCCCGGAGCUCAACUCCGGAAUUGCCUUUAAGACUGCAUCGCUAGAAUUGUGGAGAGGUAAGUGGAAUUCCGAGUGUAGAGGUGAAAUUCGUAGAUAUUCGGAAGAACACCAGUGGCGAAGGCGGCUCACUGGUCCGGUACUGACGCUGAGGUGCGAAAGCGUGGGGAGCAAACAGG